UGUAGAACUCUCACCUCCUUCAGCACCACUCUCACCCAGACACUGCCGUGCUUCCUCAUGAUGCUCAGGACUGAAGAGGUCAUGCAAAGAAGUUGAGGCUUGGUACCAUGAAAAGAGUCUGUGAGAGGCUAUUAUUGGUGAAGCCUAGUUGCAGCAGAAGACUCCAACAUAUUGGAGAUACCAGUACCAUGGGAUGAUCACCGAGAACAGCAGCAUCAGUGGAGUGGAUCAACCUGAGCUUAGAGUGCUACAGAGGGCAGAGCUGGAGAAGUGACCCAUGCACCUUUGGAGGAGCCCAGAAGAUCAUGUGUGGAUCCCAGACAUUGGAAAAAGAAAGAAGCUGUGAAGUUGAAGUUGACCUGUAGACCCCAGGAUGUUGGAGAUGCCAGAGCCAUGGGCUAUCUGCUGAGGAAAGCUGCUAAGAGGGAGAGGAAGCAGCCCAAGAGAACAGUUUGUUGCUGCUGAAUGCCAGAUCUGCCAACAGUGGUCAACAAGGAUGAAAGGAGUUGGAGAUCUGAAGAGCUCUUGGACGUCAGAUAUGGAGAUACAGAGGUUGGAGUUUGCCCAGCUGGCUUCUGGUCUUGCUUUUGUCCUCUAUUUCCUCACUAUGACAUUUUGAAAUGGUAAUGUACAUCCUGAGAUGUUAAAGGUAUGCCAUCUCCUUUUUUUUAUUAUUUUUGAUUUUAUAAGGAGUUAUAGUUCAGUGUUUGGAUGAAUCUCAGAAGAGACUUGGAACUUUGGACUUUUAACAUUGUUGAGACUGCUAUGGAUUACGCGAACUUUGGAAGUUGCACUAAAUGUAUUUUUCAUUAGACUAUGGCUAGGUGUUUGAAUGACUCAUGUGUUUGAAUAACCCUAUGUGGCGGGGCAGAGAGUAGAAUGUGGUGGUUUGAAUAUGCUUGGCCCAGGGGCUGGCACUAUUUGGAGGUGUGGCCUUGUUAGAGGAAGUGUGUCACUGUGGGUGUAGGCUUUGAGACCCUACUCCUAGCUGCCUGAAAACAGUCUUUUCCUGUUUCCCUUUGGAACAAGAUGUAGAACUCUCAGCUCCUUCAGUACCAGGCCUCCCUGGACGCUGUCAUGCUUCCCCCUUGAUGAUAAUAAACUGAACCUCAGAACCUGUAAGCCAGCCCCAAUUAAAUGUUGUCCUUUAUAAAAGUUGCCUUGAUCAUGGUGUCUCUUCAUAGUAAUGGAAACCUUAACUAAGACAAACAUAAAGAAAUUUAUUUGAAAAUAAUUUUUUAGCACACACACAAUUUUAUCAUUAAAAACUAAAGUAAAUUGACCUAGUAAUGAAAUUAUUUACUUGUUUCUUUUGUUCAUAAAAAUGUAAAUCUUGGGCUAGUGAGAUGACUCAGUGAGUAAAAGUGCUUGUUACUAUGCCUGAUGACUAAAUUUGAUCCUGGAACCCACAUGGUAAAAAGAGAG
rnacentral:lncRNA from 1 species